rnacentral:rRNA from 1 species
AACGAACGCUGGCGGCAUGCCUAACACAUGCAAGUCGAACGAACCCUUCGGGGUUAGUGGCGCACGGGUGCGUAACGCGUGGGAAUCUGCCCUUUGCUUCGGAAUAACUCAGGGAAACUUGUGCUAAUACCGGAUGAUGUCUUCGGACCAAAGAUUUAUCGGCAAGGGAUGAGCCCGCGUAGGAUUAGGUAGUUGGUGGGGUAAAGGCCUACCAAGCCGACGAUCCUUAGCUGGUCUGAGAGGAUGAUCAGCCACACUGGGACUCAGACACGGCCCAGACUCCUACGGGAAGCAGCAGUGGGGAAUAUUGGACAAUGGGCGCAAGCCUGAUCCAGCAAUGCCGCGUGAGUGAUGAAGGCCCUCGGGUCGUAAAGCUCUUUUACCAGGGAUGAUAAUGACAGUACCUGGAGAAUAAGCUCCGGCUAACUCCGUG